rnacentral:rRNA from 1 species
UACGAAGGGGGCUAGCGUUGUUCGGAAUCACUGGGCGUAAAGCGUACGUAGGCGGAUCGUUAAGUCAGGGGUGAAAGCCUGGAGCUCAACUCCAGAACUGCCUUUGAUACUGGCGAUCUUGAGACCGGGAGAGGUGAGUGGAGCUGCUAGUGUAGAGGUGAAAUUCGUAGAUAUUAGCAAGAACACCAGUGGCGAAGGCGGCUCACUGGCCCGGUACUGACGCUGAGGUACGAAAGCGUGGGGAGCAAACAGG